rnacentral:lncRNA from 1 species
UUUAAUUCAUAAACAUCUUAUGCUUUUCAUUUACGAAAGAAUAAUGAAAUCCUUGGAAACUUUUCAUGGUAAAUUAAGUGUCUUGGUUUUCAUUUCAUUUGGACCAAAAACAGAACCAAGAAAAAUGACCCAAAGAAAUCCUAAAGCAAGCUUUCCUUUCUUGGUUUAAACAUUUCAAUGUCAAGGACAUUCAAUUGCUCAGAUACUUCAAUGCCAGAAACAGAAGCGCAAUCAUUCAAGCACUUCAACGAGCAGAAGUUUAAUUCCAUCCAAAUUUUCUUGGUCUAAAAGAGUACGGUACAAUCUUAGCCAAGAAUAUUAUACGGAGUUUUCCUUACUUCAGGUAUGUUAAGGCCCUCCCUUCUUUCUUUUGGCAUGGUCCAGAUUAUACGAAAGAAACGAGCAAAUACACGGUUUCUAUAAAUUAUUCUAUUCAUAGAAAUAGUAGGGGUGUCUAUAUUCUUGAUUCCCCAUGAGAAUUAUUAUUAUCUUCUGUUCAUGGGUCUCAGAAUAAUACGCAGCUGGAAAAGUUUAUCCGGAAGGAAUAUCGAGAUUAUUAUGUAUUUUCAUGCAUUUUACUCAUUUAUACAUGUGCAUUGACCCAUUACCACAUGGCGUUAUAUACGCGUAUAUUUGUAAAUAUAUAUAUAUGGGUUAUGGGAAAAGGUUAUGGCGUUAUAUACGCAUCACCACCUGAUCAGCUGGUAUAUGAUGAUGAUGUUGCCCACAGUGGCUGAAAUAUGAUUCAAACGGCAUUAUAUAUGCAUAUAUGGGUAUGUAUUCAAAUGGUGUUAUAUACGCAUAUAUAUAUGUAUGUAUUCAAACGACGUUAUAUACGCGUAUAUAUGUAUGUAUAUAUAUGUAUAUGGGAUAUGGGAAUGGUUAUGGCGUUAUAUACACACCACCACCUGAUUAGCUGGUAUACGAUUAUGACUUUGCCCACAGUGGCCAAUAUGAUGUGAUGGGAUGCCCUCAGAGGCUGAUGAUAUUAUGUAAAUCCAUACCUAUGCAUGGCUUGACAUUUACACGCACAUGCAUGACGUUAUAAAUGUUUCAAAAUAUACAAAGUUAUUCAGAUUUAAAGAUGUGUUUCAGUAUUCCAUGUUUCAUCUAUGUCUAUUACGUAUUAAUUUCCAUGCCUUACAUACUCAGUACAUUUUUCGUACUGACGCCCUAUUCCACGGGGCCUGCGUUUCAUGCCCGCAGGUGCAGGUAGGCAAGUUGACGGUCCUCCUUCUUAGGAUCCCUAAUCAGCGAGAGUUGGCAUGCUCCAUCUGAUCUGGAGCUACUUUUGAUAUUGGUACGAUACAAUUGUACAUAUAUAUGUAUAUGAGUAUGACAUGGUUCAGUCCUGUCUUUGUACAGUUAUGUUUCUGUUAGAGGUCUAUAGACAGUAUGUCUAGUUGGGUUAUAUGUGGCCUUGUCG